UGUUGAAGUGUUGUUUCUCUCUCUCUGCUGGAGUUUGUGUUCACUCGAGUGGAAUAGAGGUUUUUGUACGAGUGUUUCAUUAGAUUGUAUCACUGUGGUACACAUUCGGUGGAGGAACUAAACUGGUGCUCGCUGGUCCCACAGUGAAGCCCUCAGUGUCUCUGCUGCCGCCCUCUUCUCUGCAGAUCUCUGGAGACUCAGCCGCACUGCUCUGCCUGCUCAGCUCUUACUCUCCACAGGGGGCGCUGGUGAGCUGGACACUGGACG